CUAAAGGAUUGAGAUUAAGAAAUCAAAUAUUCUAUAAAAUGUAAAUACACUGAACUCAUUUGAAUAUAUUUAAGUGAGACUCUACAAUAUUAUUUGACACAAAUCUAUCUAAAUCAGAAUUUUAAUAAUUUUCACGCCAAACAUUUACUGGACUGAUUUAAACAUUAAAAUCACUCCUUUCUAAUCCUCUGCUGUACGUUCAAACCUGAGGCCUUAAAUAGAAACACACAAGUAUCUGAUUGAAGGAACUUCUGCAGAGUCCUGGUUCCAGAACAUGAUGAUAGAAUUAUAGACAAACUUUAACAAAAGCUGCCUGAGAGUUUACAGGUUUUUAUGUUAGAUUUCUUCAGUAAUUUAAUGAGAGUUACCAGCAAAAAUCAAGUGUUUAUUUGAUGAACUUCAUUUCCUAAAACAUCCAGAAUUGGAGCUCAUAUCUUUGGCAGUUGUAAAGUUUCUGCUCCUUUAAAGUUCACAACACAAUGAAUGAAUUCCUAAAACACUCUCAAUGCUGGAGAGUGUUUGUGAUGCUGAAGCAGUGACCAGUUUUUCUGUUUCUUCUCUGGAGAUGCACAAUGAGGGACGUCUGCAGAGACUGAGAAAGAGUCUCACCACAUCCUGACAUGAGGAAAAAGACUUUAUUGAAGACUACGAUGAGAAAAACUAUCAGACAGCAGACGGCUGCAUUCAAGUCUGUAGCUGCUGAAUUCAUGGAUGAAUCAUCUGGCACUAGAGAAGAAGACCAUCAAACAUCCACGUCAGCUGAUGGAGGUCCAAGAGUCUCACCAAACAACCAACCUACAGAGUGAAGACCUCAAAUCUGAUUGGAUGGCCUCCUAUUCAGCCACGUGUGAACAAAUGCCUCUAAGCUGAUUUGUUUUCUAAAAUAAAUCUAGUUUGAGUCCUAAUCUAUGCCUGUGUGUUUGCUCCUUUACACUGCUGUUAACAGUUUAGGCUGUUAGAUUGUUCCAGAUAAGACAAGUACAAGAUUCUUCAGAGCCGG
ensembl:lncRNA